AUACGGAGGGGACUAGCGUUGUUCGGAUUUACUGGGCGUAAAGCGCACGUAGGCGGUUUGGAAAGUCAGAUGUGAAAUCCCAGGGCUCAACCCUGGAACUGCAUUUGAAACUAUCAGACUAGAGAUUGGGAGAGGUAAGUGGAAUUCCGAGUGUAGAGGUGAAAUUCGUAGAUAUUCGGAGGAACACCAGAGGCGAAGGCGACUUACUGGACCAAUACUGACGCUGAGGUGCGAAAGCGUGGGGAGCAAACAGGAUUAGAAACCCUAGUAGUCC
rnacentral:rRNA from 1 species